rnacentral:rRNA from 1 species
AACACGGAUUAGAUACCCUGGUAGUCCACGCUGUAAACGAUGUCGACUUGGAGGUUGUGCCCUUGAGGCGUGGCUUCCGGAGCUAACGCGUUAAGUCGACCGCCUGGGGAGUACGGCCGCAAGGUUAAAACUCAAAUGAAUUGACGGGGGCCCGCACAAGCGGUGGAGCAUGUGGUUUAAUUCGAUGCAACGCGAAGAACCUUACCUACUCUUGACAUCCAGAGAAUUUGCUAGAGAUAGCUUAGUGCCUUCGGGAACUCUGAGACAGGUGCUGCAUGGCUGUCGUCAGCUCGUGUUGUGAAAUGUUGGGUUAAGUCCCGCAACGAGCGCAACCCUUAUCCUUUGUUGCCAGCACGUAAUGGUGGGAACUCAAAGGAGACUGCCGGUGAUAAACCGGAGGAAGGUGGGGAUGACGUCAAGUCAUCAUGGCCCUUACGAGUAGGGCUACACACGUGCUACAAUGGCAUAUACAAAGAGAAGCGAACUCGCGAGAGCAAGCGGACCUCAUAAAGUAUGUCGUAGUCCGGAUUGGAGUCUGCAACUCGACUCCAUGAAGUCGGAAUCGCUAGUAAUCGUAGAUCAGAAUGCUACGGUGAAUACGUUCCCGGGCCUUGUACACACCGCCCGUCACACCAUGGGAGUGGGUUGCAAAAGAAGUAGGUAGCUUAACCUUCGGGAGGGCGCUUACCACUUUGUGAUUCAUGACUGGGGUGAAGUCGUAACAAGGUAACC